GUGCCAGCCGCCGCGGUAAUACGGAGGGUGCGAGCGUUGUCCGGAAUCACUGGGCGUAAAGGGCGCGUAGGCGGCUCGUUAAGGGUGCGGUGAAAGCCCGGGGCUUAACCCCGGGUCGGCCGUGCCGACUGAUGAGCUCGAGCACUGUAGAGGCAGGUGGAAUUCCGGGUGUAGCGGUGGAAUGCGUAGAGAUCCGGAAGAACACCAGUGGCGAAGGCGGCCUGCUGGGCAGUGGCUGACGCUGAGGCGCGACAGCGUGGGGAGCAAACAGGAUUAGAAACCCCGGUAGUCC
rnacentral:rRNA from 1 species